rnacentral:rRNA from 1 species
UACGUAGGUGGCAAGCGUUGUCCGGAUUUACUGGGCGUAAAGAGCGCGCAGGCGGUCGUAUAAGUCGAAUGUGAAAGCCCCCGGCUCAACUGGGGAGGGUCAUUCGAUACUGUUCGACUCGAAGGCAGGAGAGGGAAGUGGAAUUCCGGGUGUAGUGGUGAAAUGCGUAGAUAUCUGGAGGAACACCGGUGGCGAAGGCGGCAUCCUGGACCAAUUCUGACACUGAGGAGCGAAAGCCAGGGGAGCAAACGGG